UUGGAAAAAAAAAAGGCUCAUUUCAAUAAAUUGCCAGGAAAUCCUAUUUUCCUUACCCAUUUCCACGAAUCCUCUUCUCAGCAGUGUCUCCUAAAAAUAGUAGCCGACUGCGGCUAAAGCAGAGCACUGCAGAGCAGAGGCCACUGAUGCAAAGCAGAGGGGGAUGCAUGAGGGAGGGCUGGGAUGCAGGUCUGGCUUAGGGGAAGAAACCAUCAGUAGAUCGUACCUUACGUGAAAGGUCUUGUGAUUCAAUCAAGAAAUUCCAUUUAAAAUUAGACACAUGAAACGACCCUUUAGGAUUCAUGUAUCCUUUUAUUUCUUGCAGAUACCCUUCCUUAAGCAUGGAAGACCAAAUAUACUGUGGUCUAUAAUUAUCUACCUUUCUUUCUGUUUGAACAAGACCUCGUUGCCUAGGAACUGGAGUGAUAGCUGUGAGAAACUUCUAGCAACAUAGCUUCCACCCACCGAGCAAUCCCAACAAAUGGUGUCUAGACACCACAUACCACCGAGCUGCUGCCUUGCCAGCAGUGAGGUCACACAGCGCAGCCAGUCACCAGCACAGGGGCUGAGUCGGCGGCGUCUUGGGCUUGCUAAUUGGGACAGGUGCAGAGGGUGAUGACAGCAGGCCACCCAUGGAGCUCUGGCACAGUGAGCAGAAGAAAGUAUGAUGAAGCCUGCAGCACAGCAUAGGCGGGGAUGGCUGGCAAACAAACACAGGUAGGCAAGAGACCAUCCUGGGAUGUACCAAGAAGUUGGCCACUUUUAGAAAGGGAGUUCCCUAAUCUCUAAAGCAAACGGGAGAGCCUCCAAAAUGAGAGUCUGAAAAUAUAUGCAAAUAUACACCCAUGAACCUGCUAAAGAAAAAGGUAAUUCACGCACACACAUGCACGCAUACACACUCAAUAAUCAUGGUAGAAGCUGUGGCUUUCUCUAGGGAUUAAGAGAUGCUUUUGGGCGAGACUUCUGAUAGUGGCAUUUCACUUGGAUAGACACGAAUUAGGAAUAAAAAUAUAAGAAACUUCAUCUCAUUUACCAUUUAAGGGUUGGUUAGCUGAGACUAAGAAAAUAUUAAAGGGAAAAUAGAGCAUCAGCAGAGUUCAUCCAACAUUGUAUGUAGGCAGGAAUAUUCUAGAACACCAAGAGGAAUGAGAGGAAGUCACCUGAUUCUAAAACUUUACAGUAUAUUGGAACAGGGAAAUAAUUGAAAAGCUGGGAAAUGUUCAAAGUUUUAGUGGAAAAAUAUCCAUUUUCACAUGAACUGAUGUUAAUUUUCUCUGAAAUGUAUAACAACUGAUAUCGAAUUUUAAUCCUAUAAUUGCAUGAAACAUGCAUUUCUGGUGUGAUCUGUGAUGAUUUGAGUAGGACUUUAAAAAAUAAUACACACAAAAAAAAUAAUACACAUACAAAUGUGAAACUAAUGAGAUGUAAAUACAAAAAUAAUAUGUAUAUUUUAUGCUCUGCAUUUUUUGUAGUUAGGAGCCAAUAACAAUUGCUGAUUUAAUAUAUUUAUUUGCAAUUAAAAUGUAAGUUGAGCACCAGUAGCUAUUCAUUUUCUUCCAUAUCAAAAGUUAUCAGUAAAUCAGAGAUAUUGAGAACAUUUUUAUAAAUCACUUUUCUUUAUUUCAAUAGCUUGUCCUUUGCAAUGUAUUUGUUAUCACAAAAUACCUGAUAACUAUUCUGUCUCAUUUGGUUAUUGCAAGAAUAAAAUUAAAAUAAUAUUAAGUCUCUUAAGAGCCUUGUUACAAAGAGUUUAGAGAAACGUUUCACUGUAAUUAGAAGAAGCUACAGCAAUCUACUAAAACCCCACAAAAUUUAUUUUUUAAUUGUGGAAAUCUGAAAGCUAUUUUGUUUCUAUUAUAGUUGAGAUACUUAGAUUAAACACACAAAAGUCAGAGACAAAUUAAACUUAUUUGCUAAUGUUUGGGUGUGCGUUAAGACAAACGAUGUUACCUUAUUUGACAAAAGGGAUUUCGCAAACGUGAUUAAGUCAGAGAUCUUGAGAUGAGGAAAUUGGGCUGGAUUAUUUGGGUAAUCACAAGGGUCCUUGUAUUAGUAUAUAUAUUAUAUAAUUAUAUAUUUUAUAUAUUAUUACAAUAUAAUUAUAUCAUAUAUUAUAACACAAUAUGUAGUUACAUAGUUUAU
rnacentral:lncRNA from 1 species